UUAAUCUGUCAGGCGUUCAGCCUGUUUCGCUUUCUUUCAUACCAUGUAUUUUAUAGAAAAUUGUAAUUAAUUUCAUUAUUUAAUCGAUCUUUGCAUUAACGCACCUGUAUGCGCCAGCCGUAGCCACAGCCGCAGCUUCAACAAACAGGUGACGACCACCUGCAGCUGGUCUAAAGCUGGCAGCCAAUUGGCUGCUACCCAGUUAGAGAAAUACAUCGUCAACUGCAUAACUUUCACCGGGGCAGCGUGAGGCAAUUGCGAGGAGCAAUGGAAAUGGACAAACACACACAAGUUUCCCUGCAGCCCCGGGCAGGAUGGCCAACCAGCCAGGUGGUUUGGCCAGUAACAACAGCAACAGCAACAACAACAACAACAAGUCAGCACGGUCAGCGAGCCGUACUAAAGGGUAUAACAAGCCAACAAACAAACAAACAAACAAACAAACAAACAACUAGACGAGCCAACAAGCAAUCUAAGCACACAUAAGUAAAGACAGCCAAAAAGUAGCUUCCCUUUUUGGCUAAUUAUCAUAUGUACACAAGGGUGUGGUCUAGCAAGGCCAAGAGCCGCUUAGAACGUAGACUUCAACCAGUCGAUUGAUCGAUUGUCUUUUAAUGCAUUCACGAACGAAAGUCGCAGCUUGACAUAUGCGAAGUGAAAAGAUGGCCAAGAUCGAGCUAUGGAAUCAUCACGAACGGCGACAGUCAUAAAAAAACAAUGUUAAGAGUCCUCUAGUCGGCACUGCCUGACUAGGAGAUACCCUGAACCAAGCGUCAAGCCGAUGUUCGGGUUUAAAUAUGGCAUAAAAAAGAUGAAGGAGAGGUAUCCAAUACGGAGAUUUACAUAAACUGUAUACACUAAACAAGAGCCUACAUAUCGAGUUUGAUGUAUCUCCCAUAGUAUGAAAGAGGUAGAAGAUACAGCAGUCAGAAUAAAUAUACCUUAAAUAGACCUUACAUUGGAGGACACACAUUAUAUCCUUUACGCAGAUUUUAAAUGGGUAUAACAAACUGGAUGUUCGCCUUGCCCGCAAAUCGUUUUCGUAUUAGGAUCAGAAAUUUCGAACGAUGCGUCGGCUGCUACAAAUCAAAAUCACAGAAAUCAAGUUUUUAUUUUGAUUCUUACUUUUAUAUAGGUGGGUGAAAAGACACGCUUCGAGCUGAUUGGGUUUGAUUUAUGUGUGUGUGUGUGUGUGUGUGUGUUGAUUACUUUGAAUUUGCCGCCACAAAUAAAAAGUGCACAAAAAGUGGCCGCCGGCGACUAAUGCCAUUUGCAAGCACAGCAAAAA